AAUAGAUACUCAAUAAAUACUUGCCGACUGAUUUACUAUCUUGACAAAAUCUAGGUCACAAUUUCCCCAUAUAAGAAAACAAAUCAAGGAUUAUUGGAUACCUGUCUGUUGGAAUAAAAAUCUUGCAAGAGAGGAAUAGACUGAAAAAGGAGAGGGCUUCACGGGGGAGGACCUGAUUGCCAGAGUCAAUGAGGUUUGCCCUCCAGGUUUCGGGGAAUGGAUUCUACCAUGAUGAAGAGGCAUUCUUCUGAGCAGAAGGAAAGCCUACAUUUAACAUUUUUGCAAACGUCAAAACAACACGUAUAUUUGGAACAGAGGAAUGAAGAAGUGGUGGGGGGAAGUAUGCCCCAGAGAAUCACAGAGUCAGAGUCUCUCAGUAACUGCAGAUCAAGACUGGAUCUUCUUGAAUGGUGGUGGGACAGAGUAUGCAUUUUCCAUUGAGGGAGGCAGAAUUCUAAGAUGAGAACUCAGCUUACCUGACGAUUUGAUUUCAGCCUUGUGAAGCCCGGAGGAGAAAACCCAGCUUUACCACGUGAGACUUCUGAUCUACACAACUAUGAGAGA
rnacentral:lncRNA from 1 species